rnacentral:pre_miRNA from 1 species
AACGUACUCCCUCCGUCUGAAAAAACUUGUCCCUCAAAUGGAUGUAUCUAGCACCAAGUUAGUGCUAGAUACAUCCAUUUGAGAAACAAGCUUGGGACAAGUUUUUUCGGACGGAGGGCAAAAG